GGCCAAAGAGGGGGACCUUCGGGCCUCUCGCGUCAGGAUAUGCCUAGGUGGGAUUAGCUAGUUGGUGAGGUAAGGGCUCACCAAGGCGACGAUCCCUAGCUGGUCUGAGAGGAUGAUCAGCCACACUGGAACUGAGACACGGUCCAGACUCCUACGGGAGGCAGCAGUGGGGAAUAUUGCACAAUGGGCGCAAGCCUGAUGCAGCCAUGCCGCGUGUGUGAAGAAGGCCUUCGGGUUGUAAAGCACUUUCAGUCGUGAGGAAGGUAGUGUAGUUAAUAGCUGCAUUAUUUGACGUUAGCGACAGAAGAAGCACCGGCUAACUCCGUGCCAGCAGCCGCGGUAAUACGGAGGGUGCGAGCGUUAAUCGGAAUUACUGGGCGUAAAGCGCAUGCAGGUGGUUUGUUAAGUCAGAUGUGAAAGCCCGGGGCUCAACCUCGGAAUAGCAUUUGAAACUGGCAGACUAGAGUACUGUAGAGGGGGGUAGAAUUUCAGGUGUAGCGGUGAAAUGCGUAGAGAUCUGAAGGAAUACCGGUGGCGAAGGCGGCCCCCUGGACAGAUAC
rnacentral:rRNA from 1 species